rnacentral:rRNA from 1 species
UACGUAGGGUGCGAGCGUUAAUCGGAAUUACUGGGCGUAAAGCGUGCGCAGGCGGCUCUUCAAGUCAGAUGUGAAAGCCCCGGGCUUAACCUGGGAACUGCGUUUGAAACUGGAGGGCUAGAGUGUGGCAGAGGGAGGUGGAAUUCCACGUGUAGCAGUGAAAUGCGUAGAGAUGUGGAGGAACACCGAUGGCGAAGGCAGCCUCCUGGGUCAACACUGACGCUCAUGCACGAAAGCGUGGGGAGCAAACAGG